AUGCUAAUACAGGAUGCAGGUUAACGUAGUAUUUCUAGACCGUGCUAUUUGAAGGGAUUUUGGUUUAAUUUAGAAAUGUUUAUACAGUCAGUGGUUCAGAACAACCAGAGACAGUUUCACCUCACAGUCAUUUCAUCCAGUGUAUUAAAGGCAUAUUUAAAAGAUGAAACAAAUUAGUUUUCUACUUUAAACAUUUCAUUCAUUUCACAAUCAUCACAUCCUACAAAAACAUAGUGUUGUGUCAGAAGGAAUGAGUUUGCUCUGAAGAGGAACAGGAACUACUUCUGGGUUUGACUGAAGGUUAAACACAGAUAAGAUCGCAUCAGUCAAUAAAAAAACAUGAACAUUCAGCCUUGUUGCUGUUGUGCAUGUUUGAUUGUUUUUUUCUCUGCUAAGCAUUGUUUCUUCUUCUGGUGUAAAGUGCAGGUGAUGCCAACAGAUUUGCCCGAAACACGCUUUGUUGGAAUAAAUGAAACUAAAUACACAGUGAUGCAGGAGCUGCAGUCCUGUAUUGUGAAUCAAAGCCUAUCAUCAGUGUCUACUGUCUGCAGAGCGAGUUGUUGUAGCAGUAGGAUCCUCUGCCAGCUGAAGUUCCUGUCCUGGUGUUAAAAGAGAGAUCAGCUGCUGAUAAUCUGCUGUGUGUUGGUCCUGGAGAACUACUGCACAGGACGGAUCUUCAUGAUGAUGAAGCAGAUCUGAGGUCUGUGAGGGAGUGAUGAUGGACAGGUGACCAGCUGCACCUUUAAACUAGCGAGUUGUUGUAGCAGUAGGAUCCUCUGCCAGCUGAAGUUCCUGUCCUGGUGUUAAAAGAGAGAUCAGCUGCUGAUAAUCUGCUGUGUGUUGGUCCUGGAGAACAUCUGCACAGGAUGGAUCUUCAUGAUGAUGACGCAGAUCUGAGGUCUGUGAGGGAGUGAUGAUGGACAGGUGACCAGCUGCACCUUUAAACUAGCGAGUUGUUGUAGCAGUAGGAUCCUCUGCCAGCUGAAGUUCCUGUCCUGGUGUUAAAAGAGAGAUCAGCUGCUGAUAAUCUGCUGUGUGUUGGUCCUG